UACGUAGGAGACGAGCGUUGUCCGGAAUUACUGGGCGUAAAGCGCGUGUAGGCGGAUGAGCAAGUCUGCUGUGAAAGCUCCUGGCCUAACCGGGAGUGGUCGGUGGAAACUGCUCGUCUGGAGGACGGUAGAGGUAGGUAGAAUUCCCGGUGUAGUGGUGAAAUGCGUAGAGAUCGGGAGGAAUACCUGUGGCGAAGGCGGCCUACUGGGCCGGACCUGACGCUGAGACGCGAAGGCGUGGGGAGCGAACGGG
rnacentral:rRNA from 1 species